rnacentral:ncRNA from 1 species
CCAAACGUUAUGAUUGGGAGUAUUAAGGAUUGCUAUUGUUCAGAGAACCGUCGUAUCGGUGCAAGACGGUCAAUGGUUUCCCCAACUCGCCCAUGAGCGGUAAGACUGACCCGGGUAGGUCUUAACGGAUAACCUCCGUAACCAAGUUUUAAGAUGGUUCGUUUUAUGUUUGAAACGACGAAUCCAAAAAGAGUGGUACCGCGAAGGUAAAACCUAUCGCCUCUUUG